rnacentral:tRNA from 13 species
AGGUCCGCGGUGGCGUCCGCGGACUUCAAGCCCCGGGUG